GUGCCAGCAGCCGCGGUAAUACCGGCAGCACGAGUGAUGGCCGAUAUUAUUGGGCCUAAAGCGUCCGUAGCUUGCUGUGUAAGUCCAUUGGGAAAUCGACGUGCUCAACGCGUCGGCGUCCGGUGGAAACUACACGGCUUGGGGCCGAGAGACUCGACGGGUACGUCCGGGGUAGGAGUGUAAUCCUGUAAUCCUGGACGGACCACCAAUGGGGAAACCACGUCGAGAGGCCGGACCCGACAGUGAGGGACAAAAGCCAGGGUCUCGAACCGGAUUAGAAACCCCGGUAGUCC
rnacentral:rRNA from 1 species